GACGAACGCUGGCGGCGUGCUUAACACAUGCAAGUCGAACGAUGAUCCGGGUGCUUGCACCUGGGGAUUAGUGGCGAACGGGUGAGUAACACGUGAGUAACCUGCCCUGGACUCUGGGAUAACCCCGAGAAAUAGGAGCUAAUACCGGAUAGGACCUUUCCUCGCAUGAGGUGGGGUGGAAAGUUUUUUCGGUUUGGGAUGGACUCGCGGCCUAUCAGCUUGUUGGUGAGGUAAUGGCUCACCUGGGCGUCGACGGGUAGCUGGUCUGAGAGGACGAUCAGCCACACUGGGACUGAGACACGGCCCAGACUCCUACGGGAGGCAGCAGUGGGGAAUCUUGCGCAAUGCGCGAAAGCGUGACGCAGCAACGCCGCGUGGGGGAAGAAGGCCUUCGGGUUGUAAACCCCUUUCAGGAGGGACGAAGCCUUGGCGGUUAAUAGCCGACCGAGGUGACGGUACCUCCGGAAGAAGCCCCGGCUAACUACGUGCCAG
rnacentral:rRNA from 1 species